UACGUAGGGCGCAAGCGUUGUCCGGAAUUAUUGGGCGUAAAGAGCUCGUAGGCGGUUUGUCGCGUCUGCUGUGAAAACUCGAGGCUCAACCUCGGGCUUGCAGUGGGUACGGGCAGACUAGAGUGCGGUAGGGGAGACUGGAAUUCCUGGUGUAGCGGUGAAAUGCGCAGAUAUCAGGAGGAACACCGGUGGCGAGGGCGGGUCUCUGGGCCGAUACUGACGCUGAGGAGCGAAAGCGUGGGGAGCGAACAGG
rnacentral:rRNA from 1 species